rnacentral:sRNA from 1 species
UAAAGCGAUGUCAGAAAUCUAGAUUGUAAUGUGAAGGAAACUUUCACACAUUUGCCACUAUAAAUUUUGUUCUUUAACAAAAUGCUCUGUGGGGAAAUGAAACUUGUCAGUGAGCCAGCUUCUACCUGUUUGUGACUUCUGAUAACCUUAGCACCUCAGAAACUUAGCAGUAUUGCUGGCUAACAGAAUUUUUAAUCCGUGUUCCAAUACCUACUAACAAUCAUGUCUUUAUAGAAAGGGACUUUUUUGAUUUUGAAAUUUAUGAAUUUGGGGCAUUGUAAUCAUAGAAUUUACUAGAGUGCCCAAUGCAUUAGGAGCUGUUUUUGUGAUUUCCUUCCACCUGUAUUUUGUGUUUGCCAUCUUAGCGCUGGUCAGACUACGUGGAGCGAUACAUGAAUUCAGAUACUACCUCGCCUGAGCUUCGUGAACAUCUAGCACAGAAACCAGUAUUUCUCCCCAGGAAUCUACGGCGGAUCCGGAAGUGUCAACGUGGUCGAGAGCAGCAGGAAAAGGAAGGGAAGGAAGGAAACAGCAAGAAGACCAUGGAGAAUGUGGAUAGUCUGGAUAAGCUGGAGUGUAGAUUCAAGCUGAAU